GUGCCUACGGGGGGCAGCAGUGGGGAAUAUUGCACAAUGGGGGAAACCCUGAUGCAGCGACGCCGCGUGAGUGAGGAAGUAUUUCGGUAUGUAAAUCUCUCUCAGCAGGGAAGAAAAUGACGGUACCUGACUAAGAAGCCCCGGCUAACUACGUGCCAGCAGCCGCGGUAAUACGUAGGGGGCAAGCGUUAUCCGGAUUUACUGGGUGUAAAGGGAGCGUCGACGGGGGAGCAAGUCUGAUGUGAAAAUCCGGGGCCCAACACCGGAACUGCAUUGGAAACUGUUUAUCUAGAGUGUCGGCGUGG
rnacentral:rRNA from 1 species